rnacentral:rRNA from 1 species
UACGUAGGGUGCAAGCGUUAAUCGGAAUUACUGGGCGUAAAGCGUGCGCAGGCGGUUCUAUAAGUCGGAUGUGAAAUCUCCCUGGCUUAACCGGGAGAGUGCAUUUGAGACUGUCAACCUGGAGGGCAGCAGAGGAGCGUGGAAUUCCGGGUGGAGUGGUGAAAUGCGUAGAGAUCCGGAGGAACACCAGAGGCGAAAGCGGCGCUCUGGGCUGCACCUGACGCUGAACUGCGAAAGCCAGGGGAGCGAACGGG